UCCAUAUUCUACAACUCAGCUACCUGCAGUUGCCAGUUAACCUACUAACCCCAACGCUUGGUAUGUCAGAGGAAACAGGAGCAUCUGGAGAAAACCCAAUGGUUCACAGGGAAAAGGUGCAAAGAUUCUGCAUACAGCUUUUUCUGUUCUUAUUCUGCAAGUACAUACCCGGGUUUCAUGAGACAGGAAAAGCAUCAUCCGAGAAGGAGCAGCAACUUUCGAAGCCGAGAGAUGUGCAGAAUUAGAAGAAAAGAGAAGAAAAUGGAUAGAGAGGCAGCAACAACCAAAGUCCGAUCUGCCAUCUGGAACUACCUGUCCUGAAUGCGGAAGAACUUUCAAAGCCAAGAUUGGACUCAUAAGCCACUUGAGGGCACAUAAGUAGAUCACAGAACGAAGACCAUCAUCCUCGACCUCGAGGGAUAGCCACAACGAUAUUUUCAAGCAGAGUGAAAAUACAUAAGAUAACAAUAAGAUUAUGUUUCGAAAUUUAAACUUAAUAUCGUUUGAGAAAACCAUUGGAAUGUAGUAGGAGGAUUGAUUUCCUUCCAGUUCAACAAAAUAGAUCUUCUAGCCAUUAAAGUAACAAAUGCUAUCAUCUGACAGGCUGAAGAAGACAAAGAUCUAUGUUCUACCACUGGCAAUCCAAAAAUUGCCGUAAUAUGAUGGGGUUUUAAAUCAAAACAUAGAUCUGUUGAAAUAAUAUCAAAAAUAUCUUUCCAAUAUUUUUCCAAAAGAGGACAGGACCAAAACAUAUGAGUUAAAGAAGCCACCUCAGAGUGACAUCUAUCACAAGUAGGGUUUAUAUGGGAAUAAAAACGAGCUAGUUUAUCUUUGGACAUAUGGGCUGUGUGUACUACUUUAAACUGUAUUAAUGUAUGUUCAGCACAUAUAGAAGAAGUGCUAACUAAUUGAAAAAUUUUAUCCCAUUUCUCUAUAGGUAGACAAAGUUGAAGUUCCCUUUCCCAUUCAUUUUUAAUUUUAUCAGAUAUACCUGGCUGUAAUUUCAUAAUUAUAUCAUAAAUAAUUGCUAUUAAUCCCUUCUGAAAAGGAUUUAAACCUAAAAUUUUAUCAAUAAUAUCAGUAGGAUUUGAAGUCGGAAAGGUAGGCAACGUAGUAUCUAAAAAAAUUCUUAUUUGUAAGUAUCUAAAAAAAUGGGAUCUAGGCAAAUCAAACUUCUUAGAUAACUGCUCAAAAGACAUAAAACAGUUAUCCAGAAAUAAGUCACGAAAACAUAUCAUACCUUUCGUUUUCCAUAUCAAAAAGGCUUGGUCCAUUACCGAGGGUUGAGAAAAGAAAUUAGAUAUAAUAGGAUUUGAUAACAUAAAUUCAUUCAGGCCAAAAAAUUUAUGAAAUUGAAACCAUAUUCGCAAUGCAUGUUUAACUAUAGGGUUAAAUGUUUGUUUAUUCAAUUUAGAUAGCACAAAAGGAAGUGAAAGUUCCUACAAUGGAAGCUAAAGAAAACCCCUGUACAGAGUGGCCUUCAAGGUUUACCCAAUAUGGGCUUGGAGUUGUAUUCCAAUCUUGCGUCCAAAAUAUUAAAUAUUGAAUAUUAAUUGCCCAAUAAUAAAAUCUUAGGUUAGGCAAUGCCAAACCACCCUCUUUCUUAGAUUUCUGUAAGUAUUUUUACUUAAUCUGGGAUUUUUAUUUUCCCAUAUAUAAGAGGAAAUUUUAGAAUCAAUAGUAUCAAAAAAUUAGAAGAAAAAAUAGUAGAAAAAAUUAGAAGUGAUAUUUUUGAUCCUUCGGUUAAAUUUGAAGAAACUUGGAAACCUUUUAUGCAACAUUUUCAUAUGAUGUAAUCUGACUUUUCCAAAUCUUUUCUCUAACUUAAAUUAUAUGAAUAGAGGAGCGGAGUUGACGACAUUACUGAACGUGUCUGAUUCAAGAUAUUGGUCUAGCCCUGUUUUGUUCUGUUUUUUUGGGGUUUCUU